GACGAACGCUGGCGGCGUGCUUAACACAUGCAAGUCGAACGGAAAGGCCCUGCUUUUGUGGGGUGCUCGAGUGGCGAACGGGUGAGUAACACGUGAGUAACCUGCCCUUGACUUUGGGAUAACUUCAGGAAACUGGGGCUAAUACCGGAUAGGAGCUCCUGCUGCAUGGUGGGGGUUGGAAAGUUUCGGCGGUUGGGGAUGGACUCGCGGCUUAUCAGCUUGUUGGUGGGGUAGUGGCUUACCAAGGCUUUGACGGGUAGCCGGCCUGAGAGGGUGACCGGGCACAUUGAGAAUGAGAUACGGCCCAGACUCCUACGGGAGGCAGCAGUGGGGAAAAUUGCACAAUGGGCGGAAGCCUGAUGCGACAACGCCGAGUGCGGGAUGACGGACUUAGGGUUGUAAACCGCUUUCGCCUGUGACGAAGCGUGAGUGACGGUAAUGGGUAAAGAAGCACCGGCUAACUACGUG
rnacentral:rRNA from 1 species